AACGUAGGGGGCCAGCGUUGCUCGGAAUUACUGGGCGUAAAGGGUCCGUAGGCGGUGUAGCAAGUCGGAAGUGAAAUCUCUGGGCUUAACCCAGAGGCUGCUCCCGAAACUGCUGUGCUAGAGUGCGAGAGAGGCGAGUGGAAUUGCGGGUGUAGCGGUGAAAUGCGUAGAUAUCCGCAGGAACAUCCGAGGCGAAAGCGGCUCGCUGGAUCGCAACUGACGCUGAGGGACGAAAGCUAGGGGAGCAAACAGG
rnacentral:rRNA from 1 species